CAGUCGCCACGGGAAUACGUAGGUGGCAAGCGUUAUCCGGAAUUAUUGGGCGUAAAGCGCGCGUAGGCGGUUUUUUAAGUCUGAUGUGAAAGCCCACGGCUCAACCGUGGAGGGUCAUUGGAAACUGGAAAACUUGAGUGCAGAAGAGGAAAGUGGAAUUCCAUGUGUAGCGGUGAAAUGCGCAGAGAUAUGGAGGAACACCAGUGGCGAAGGCGACUUUCUGGUCUGUAACUGACGCUGAUGUGCGAAAGCGUGGGGAUCAAACAGGAUUAGAUACCCCUGUAGUCCCUGUCUCUUAUAA
rnacentral:rRNA from 1 species